GUCCACGUUACCAUGGGAGCUGUGUUCUAAUGACAGUCUCCCUUCCUAGGCGUGGAAUAGCAUAACCUCGCUCCCGUUC